rnacentral:rRNA from 1 species
UCUAGCAUGUGCGCGAGUCAUUGGGACUUUUUUUCAGGAAAGCCCAGAGGCGCAAUGAAAGUGAAGAUCGGCCUUUUCGGCUUGAUCGAGGGAGGAUGGCUCAUUGUUAUUUUUUUAUAACGACGGGCUCGCACUCCCGGGGCGUCUCGCGCUCAUUUCGAGCGGAGGCGCACCCAGAGCGUACACGCUGGGACCCGAAAGAUGGUGAACUA